GAGUUUGAUCAUGGCUCAGAACGAACGCUGGCGGCAGGCCUAACACAUGCAAGUCGAACGAGAAAUCACCUUCGGGUGAGAGUAGAGUGGCGCACGGGUGAGUAACGCGUAGGUAUCUACCUAGUUCUACGGAAUAACAGUUGGAAACGACUGCUAAUACCGUAUACGCCCUCCGGGGGAAAGAUUUAUCGGAAUUAGAUGAGCCUGCGUGACAUUAGCUAGUUGGUAGGGUAAUGGCCUACCAAGGCUACGAUGUCUAGCUGGUCUGAGAGGAUGAUCAGCCACACUGGGACUGAGACACGGCCCAGACUCCUACGGGAGGCAGCAGUGGGGAAUAUUGGACAAUGGGCGCAAGCCUGAUCCAGCCAUGCCGCGUGAGUGAUGACGGCCUUAGGGUUGUAAAGCUCUUUCAGUAGUGAAGAUGAUGACAGUAACUACAGAAGAAGCCCCGGCUAACUUCGUGCCAGCAGCCGCGGUAAUACGAAGGGGGCUAGCGUUGUUCGGAUUUACUGGGCGUAAAGGGCACGCAGGCGGUCUAUCAAGUCAGGGGUGAAAUCCCAGAGCUCAACUCUGGAACUGCCUUUGAAACUGGUAGACUUGAGUCCGAGAGAGGUAAGUGGAAUUCCUAGUGUAGAGGUGAAAUUCGUAGAUAUUAGGAGGAACACCAGUGGCGAAGGCGACUUACUGGCUCGGUACUGACGCUCAUGUGCGAAAGCGUGAGGAGCAAACAGGAUUAGAUACCCUGGUAGUCCACGCCGUAAACGAUGAGUGCUAGUUGUUGGAAUUUUUAAAUUUCAGUGACGCAGCUAACGCAUUAAGCACUCCGCCUGGGGAGUACGGCCGCAAGGUUAAAACUCAAAGGAAU
rnacentral:rRNA from 1 species